UUUAUACCUUUGCUCAUUGACGUUACCCGCAGGAGAAUCACCGGCUAACUCCGUGCCGGCACCAGCGGGAACACGGAGGGUGCAAGCGGUAAUCGCAGGUACUGGGCGUAAAGCGCUCGCAGGCGGUUUGUUACAUCAGAGGUGUAACCCCCCGGCUCAACCAGGAAACUGCAGCUGAGGCUGGCAAGCUGGAGUCUCGUAGAGGGGGGUAGAAUGCCAGGUGGAGCGGUGAAACGCGUAGAGAUCGGGAGAAAUACGGGUGGCAAAGGCGGCCCCCUGGGCAAAGGCUGCCGCUAAGGUGCGAAAGCGUGGGGAGCA
rnacentral:rRNA from 1 species